rnacentral:rRNA from 1 species
GGCUUAGAGUUUGAUCAUGGCUCAGAACGAACGCUGGCGGCAGGCUUAACACAUGCAAGUUGAACGGGAUUUGUGUGGUGCUUGCACCAUAUAAUGAGAGUAGCGCACUGGUGAGUAACACGUGGGAACGUGCCUUUUAGUGGGGGAUAACAUCUGGAAACGGAUGCUAAUACCGCAUACGCCCUGAGGGGGAAAGAUUUAUUGCUAAGAGGUCGGCCCGCGGUAGAUUAGGCAGUUGGUGGGGUAAAGGCCUACCAAACCUACGAUCUAUAGCUGGUCUGAGAGGACGAUCAGCCACAUUGGAACUGAGACACGGUCCAGACUCCUACGGGAGGCAGCAGUGAGGAAUAUUGGGCAAUGGAGGCAACUCUGACCCAGCCAUGCCGCGUGAGUGAGAGGGUUUUCGAAUUGUAAAGCUCUUUCGGGUGUGAAGAUGAUGACGGUAACACCAGAAGAAGCCCCGGCAAACUUCGUGCCAGCAGCCGCGGUAAUACGAAGGGGGCGAGCGUUGUUCGGAAUUACUGGGCGUAAAGGGUGUGUAGGCGGUUAAGUAAGAUAGUGGUGAAAUGCCGGGGCUCAACCUCGGAAUUGCCAUUAUGACUAUUUGGCUAGAAUGAUGCAGAGGAUAGCGGAAUACCCAGUGUAGAGGUGAAAUUCGUAGAUAUUGGGUAGAACACCAGAGGCGAAAGCGGCUAUCUGGGCAUUGAUUGACGCUGAGGCACGAAAGCAUGGGGAUCAAACAGGAUUAGAUACCCUGGUAGUCCAUGCUGUAAACGAUGAAUGCUAGUUGUUGGAGGAAUUAAGUGACGCAGUUAACACAAUAAGCAUUCCGCCUGGGGAGUACGGUCGCAGAUUAAACUCAAAGG